UUGAAAAAUAUUGAUAUACGAGAUAAAUCGUAGAGAGUAUCAAGGGGGUUCCGAAACCCACCUCAAAUCAAGGCUAAACCUAAAUUAGGGUUUUAACCUACACAAAAUUCUCGAUGACAGGAAUUAGGGUUUGUUAGCGAGCUAGGGUUUUGAAGCCGAAUUACGUUUUAUAAGAAGAAUUGAGUUGUAGAGGGAAGAGCAGGAAAGGUGAUUGACGCGCCUCGAAAGAGCAUUGCCAUCGGCAAGUCGAUGUUUCCCUUUUAAGCUGAAAGCCCUUAAGGAUCCAUGACGAUUCGGAACAGAUAUACAAUUUUUGUGAAGGUUGUUUCUUUAUUCAUUUUUUUGGUUUCAUUAUAGAUAUUAUGAUGCUCUUAUUUAAACUGUAACGGCAAUGAGGAGUUUAUCAGCUGUAAAGCCAGUUCUGCUUCUGAUUUUCACUGAUCGAGAAUAGCUGUGAUUUAUCUGAGCCAACGUUUUCGAUAUUUUUAAUUUAACCAUUGAUUUUGUCUACAACAUGGUAGUUAUACAUUAGUAGUAAUGUUUCUCUUAGCAGACGAUUCUCUGCUGGCAAUGAUUAGAACUUAUCCGCGCUUCUGAUGCUUUUUGCAGAUGAAGUAAAAGGAUUAAAUGGUUGAAUUUCUUGAUAUGAGCCAGGAUGUUAGAAUGGUUUUCUUGUGCAGCUGGUGAUGAAAUGAACCCAAUGAAGUUAGUUGCAGGUGGUUCCAAGUCCUUGAUCAUCAAGGAGAACCUACUUGGAGUUGCCCCUGCAUUUCAAUGACAAUCAUGGGUUCUCUCUGAGGCUUAUUUGUAUUUCCGUUUAUCUAAGUUAGCUACUUCUUUUUUUUCCGUGUCUUGAUUGGUUACCAAUGAUGAUAUAUCCAAUUAGUGGAGUUGCAAAUGGUGCCGAGUUCUUGUGAAAACAAGGAGAACCUACUUGGCGUUGCCUUUGCAUUUCAAUGACACCAUUGGGUACUAACUGAGGUAUUGUUGUUAAUUCUCAAGACGCAAUCUUACAUUUUAUCUUGACUUCAAUCUUUUUCUUUGUGGGAGCACUUUUUUUCUCUUUUUAAAGCCACUUUUUGAUGCCCUUUCGGUUCCUUCUGUUGCCAAAUUUAAAACGGACGGACCCAUUCUUUACCAUGAACAUCCCCAUCCAAGUUAAAACAAAUGCAACAAAUUAUGGAUCCAGCUUCUUGUAACCAGGCAUUCAAUUUUUAAAAAUGAAAAUGCCCCUACAGAUGGUAUAGAUAGCCAAACUUCUCUAGGGUUCUUUUUUCAGAUCUGCUAGAUAUCUUAUUUUCUGCGAGCUUCUACAUUCUCUAAUUGUAGGAUAGAAAUCUAUAAGCUCGGUGGGUUGUGAGUGAUGGUUACAGAUCAACUUAUGUGCUUGAUUAUAGAGUAAUGUGAACAUUCAAAGUUAAUGCUUCUAAGAAGCAUUACACAUGUCAUCAAUAUACUUGCAUUUUUACAACAUAUAAAUAAUUAUUCUUUUAAAUAAACAAAAAUGUUUCGAACAGAGCACCCAUGUGAUCUUGGCUGAAAGCCUGUCAAAACUUGUUAUCGUCUGCAAUGUCUAGUGCUUUGAUUAUGUCAAAAGCAGCAUACGUGCGUGUCAAGUUGUGACACUUAAAUGAAAGUGUCCCACCAACAGUUUGAAUGAGCAUGAUUACCCCUAUUCUAGUCGAACCUUUGUUAGAAGGAAUAUGCUUGUGCAACUAAAAUUGACAGAUAUUAGUAAUUAGACAUCCAUUCUCAAUUUUUGAUUGUUCCUCUGGUCUUCCUUUUAGUAGCAGUGUGGCUUCAGGGAAAUAGUUUUUUGGCCUCAGAUGCAAUGGUAGUCGAAUUCCGACAUUAGAAACAAUUAGAUCAUCACCUCCCACCAGCAACUUGAAACUGCUCAUCCCAAUGAAGGAGCUGGAAGCAGAAGAAAGUUGAGAACGCAACAGGGUAACCCUCAUCUCAGAAAGGGUGUGCAUUCCAUAUUGUGGCCUAGAAUCUUCAUUAAAAUGCAACUAAAAUUGACAGAUAUUAGUAAUUAGACAUCCAUUCUCAUUUUUUGAUUGUUCCUCUGGUCUCCAUUUCGGUAACACACAGUGGAUUCAGUGAAACACUUUUUUGGCCUCAGUUGCAAUGUUGGGCGAAUUCCGAUAUUAGAAACAAUUAGAUCAUCACCUCCCACUAGCAACUUGAAACUCCUCACCCCAAUGAAGGAGGUGGAAGCAGAAGAAAGUUCAGAAGGCAACAGGGUAACCCUCAUCUCAGAAAGGGUGUGCCUUCCAUAUUGUGGCCAAGAAUCUUCAUUAAAAUGCAAAUUAUUUUAAACUAGUUAUACAUCACGGUCUUCCUGACAACCAAUGCCAGUAAACAUCCCACCAUUUCUGAUUAUCCGAUGGUUGAUAAAAUAAAUAUUUCUGAGAUAAUUGUAGAACAUUAAAUUGUUUUCCUCAAUCCCUAGCUUACAAGAUCAACCGAAUACUAUAACUAAUCAUACAAAGGAUAACACUUUAAUUAAUCUUUUAACUAUUAAUUGUUCAUUCCUAGAAAAUACUAUGAAGAAGGGGGUGGAUAAUGUGGCCCAGAAUCUUCAUUAAGAUGCAAAUUAUUUUAAACUAGUUAUACAUCACGAUCUUCCUGAUACAACCAAUGCCAGUAAACAUCCCACCAUUUCUGAAAAUCCGAUAGUUGAUAAAAAUAAAUAUUUCUGAGAUAAUUGCAGAACAUUAAAUUGUUUUCCUCAAUCCCUAGCUUACAAGAUCAACCUUAGAGAUUAGACAAUACAAAGGAGAAUACUAUAAUUAAUCAUGUAAAGGAGAAUGCUAUGUUUAUCAUUAACUAUUAAUUGUUUAUUUCUAGAAAAUACUAUCAAGGGGGUGCAUAAUUGUAUUUUAAACAAGUAGUGCUUCUGUACUGUCUAUAUCAGCAAGUCUAUCCUUAUUCGCUAUUAGGUCUAUGGCGUUCCAUCAUUACAAAAAUCUAUUUGCAAUAUUGCAAUCCACCAUUACAAUAUCUCUCUAUAUUCUUUAUGCCUAUCUUAUCUAUGCUUGCCAUGCAUCUCAAUACGAGACAUUGGCAUACAUAAAUUGAUAAUGCAAUACCUCCAAGUCCAACAGUGCUGCGCAAUGUUGUUGGCUGUAACCGACCUGAACUGGUUGUCUUCUGCCAUACCUGGUGGUAAUGUCAAAAGUUCCACAUAUGCAUGUCAGCUUGUAACAGUUGAUCAAAGAUUCUUGCCAACAAUAUGAAUACCCCCCUUAUAUUAUAAGAAUAUGACCUCUCACCAGCAGCUUGAAGCUCUUAACACAGCGUUAAGGACUUACAAGUAGGAAAGUUGUUAAGAAUAAGCAGGAAGAUAGUUAAGGGAAGCCUAGAGGUCCAUUCCGCAAAGGACACAAGAAUCGUCGUUCUUUUAGGUAUGAUUUGCCUUACAUACUUAUGUUCAAAAUCUGCAUUAAGAUGUCAAUAAUUGUUGACCAGGGACACACUACCACCUUCCUGACAACCAACAACAGGAAACAUCCAUCAUCUCUCAGGAUCCUCUGGUCGUUUAUAAAAUAAGUGUUAUUCUGAGAUAAACACACAUAUUAAGCGUUUUUCUUCAAUCAUUCAACUUACAAGAGCACAUGCAAAGGAGAACACCAUGAUUAAUUAUGAACUAUCAAUUGCUCAUUACACCUAAUAAUACUUUGAUGUGGGUACAUAAUUAUAGACAUUAUUACUGUUUCUAUAAUUCCACAAGUCUAUCCUUGUUGGGUAUCAAGUCUAUUGCACUCUACCAUUAGGAUACCUGUCUAUUGCAAUUUUACCAUCACAUCUUUAACUUUAAUUCAGAUCACUCAUUCCUAUCUUAUUGAUCCUCGCCAAUCUAUCCUAUACACAGGGAUGUAUGAAUUUAUAAUGCAAUGUCUCGGAGAGUGCUCCAAUGUGUUCUGUGGUGGUUUUGACAGAAUCGGUUAUUUUCUGCCACACCUGGUGCUGUAUUAAUGCCAAAAACACUACAUUUUAGUCGGAUUGUAACACUUGAAUGUAGAUUUCUGCCGACAAUCCAAUUCCUUUUUAUUUGAACGCCCCCUUCUGUUAGAAGAAUUGUGCAUCUGAAACAGCAAAUUACCAGAUAUCAGUAAUCGGACAUUUUCAAAAUUCGGGAUUUCUCCACUGGUCCUUAAUAUAAUACCACAUUGGAAUUAGUGAAACGUUAGAGAAACAAUGAUUAUUUUCAAAUUGCAGUACUACUCCACUGUAUUUGUCUUUGUAGUGUUGGUUUGUUUAACAAGCUUGUUAGUGUUUUAUAGCUGCAGGAGGUAUUCCUAGAAGUAAGAUUGCAAAUUAUUAGGUUAUAUUUAUAAGGGCCGGCCCAAGAUUGGUUCGUGAAUGAGGCAGUUGCUUGAGAAAAGACCCCUUACUUUGUAUAUAUAGAAAGUGAUUAUCAUUUCAUUUUGAUCAAUCAAUUUAACAUAAGAGAUAUAUUCUUGGCUGGGUUUUUUCUCUCUCGAGGAGGGUAAGUUUUCCUAGGAUAUGUGGUGUGUUCUAUUUUGUUUGUGUUGUAUUUAUGUGUUUCUGUGUAUUGCAAAUCUGAUCAUAAAAAAUAACAUGGUAUCAGAGCCAGGUUCAGGGAAAAUCCAAUCAGAUUUGUCUAAGCCAAAUUUGUAAGUUUUCAUUCGAAGAGCAUAGUUGUGACUCCGAUUUCAUCUUUUGGACAGAUGGGUGCUUGCUGAUUUCAAGGUGCGAAACCCCCAAUUAUAAGUAAAUGUGGAGAUGUUGAAUUGGUUGUGGCAAACUUAUCCACAUUCAAUUGUGUUAGUCAACUUCACAACUGAAUGUCGACCUCAACAUAUCUUUAUGGAUAUCAAUCAUCAUAUUCCUUUGAGGGAAAUGGUGAGGCGGUUAGAGAAUCGUGCAACCAAAUCUCAGUUGGAAAUGGCAGCAAAUGUGGGGGAAGAAGCCAGGUCGAAUUAGCUACAGAAAUAUUUGGGCAGCCUUUCGUGGAUACAUCUGCUUCAAUCGCAUUUGAAAACCCAGAAAGUGUUCCCAUAACAACAAAGUUUUUAUCAUUAUUACUAGAUCAUCUACUUUCACUCAGUCUCGACAAUUGGUUUCGGCUCUCUCAUUUCGACUUUGUGCGGUGAUCAUUACCAGAGCAGUAGAAGGAGAGGUUGGCACGCAAGCAGUUGGAAGCAACAUGGUGACCAAAUAAGGGUGGGCGUUGAGUUAGGGCGAUCAACGUGCCAAAACAAAUUGACUUGGCGCAACAAUUGGUCGGCCCAUCGCUCUUGGCCUAUUGCAUUGUUCUCUCCCUAUUCUUGCAGUGUAUCUUUGUAUACUGUUCUGUGCAGAGGUUUGUUCCUGUGUAUUUGACUUGGUGCUGGGAAUUUUCUCUGGACUAGUAGCCACGCCUCCAACUUGUGGCAAAGUGCAAGGCAUCCAAGGGAGGAGGUUGAGUCUUUUGCCCUAGCAGCGCGACAUUGUAUGGACGUGGAUCAUGUGGGGGAGGCAGAAACAACACAUGGCGAACAAAAGUGGCCAUGAAUUAGGGAGCAAAACAUCCAUCGCGAGGGAAUCACAAUAUAUAUAUAUAUAUAUAUAUAUAUAUAUAUAUAUAUAUAUAUUAUAUAUAUAUAUAUAUAUAUAUAUAUAUAUUCUCUACUUGGAUCUUUGACGUGAGCAUUGACCCUUGGGGAAUUAUCGUAAUACAUUGGAUAAGUCCGACAAGCUCCCAUGCCGGAAGCACAAUCACUAUUAUUCACGUGGAGGUCACACUAGUCAUUUGGCAAUUGUUCAUGAUCAUUGUGUAGGAUUAUAUAGAGCCACUAUUGAAAGAGGACAAAGAGUCGUGGCCAUCGCUCAAUAAUGACGGAAAUGAAUAAAAUUGCAGUUUUGUCCAACUGAUGCGACUUAUAGUAUGCUCGACAAUUCCCUUAUUAAGACAUUAAAGAGCAAGCAAUUCUCAUUAAGGAGAAAGGUUUAUGUUUCGCUGCGAUAAAAGGAUGUGGAAGUAACUAAUACUUCUAAAAAGGAAUUUAUUAAGAAGAAAGAGUAGUGAUUAAAGUAAAUAAGACAAAAGCAAUCAAUUAUAUAAGUCAUUGUAAUGUGCAAUGUUUAUAUUAAGAAAGGUAGUGGCCAUUCUUAAGGAAGCUGGUUAUGACCAAAUUAAGGUAAGAAACAAAUUAAGGUAAACAACAACAAGCCAGUGAAAGAAUCUUCAAGAGGGUGCGAUCAAGAAAUAAGUAUUUUAUGAUUGUACCUUUGAAUAUUGAUCAUGAAUUUUAUAUAGUCAAUUAUAAUAAUUCAUGCAAUAACAUUGGUAAUAGUGAAUCGUGUAUGCUUCCAGCAUUGGUCUGUUUAUUUCUCUUUGGGUAGCUUGAUUCCUUGAAUUAUUAUUAAUCUCUCUUUAAAAUGCUUCCACGGAUCAAGGAACAAAAGGAUGAUAAGAGAUUGCAUAAGGAAUUCAAGGGAGGAAGAGCUUGUUGCAUCUUGUGAGGAAGUCACGUAGGCUGAAGAAAUGUAUGGAGUUACAACGUACAGCCAUGGGAUUGAGUUGAGACAUCUCUCGAAGAGGAAGAACCUAUACAAAUUGCAAUCAUUUUCUUCAAAGAGUAGGAAAUAACAUUCAGAGGGAGUUUGACAAACCAACAAAGGCAACCUUGGGUGAGGAGGUCAGGAGGCUGAUGCAAAUACGUGGAGCUUUAGAGGGAGUCACAUUAUCAUUUGUUAAUGCAUUUGUUCUUUGAGACGAAGAAAUUUGAGGUUAAAGCCCUUGUUAAUGCAUUUUUUCUCCGAGACGAAGAAAUUUGAGGUGAAAGCCCUUGUCCAGCUUUGAGAUGGAGAUGUGGUUCUAUCCACUCUCUGGGAGUAGCCAUGGUGGAUGUCAUGUUGAGAAAUUCCAUGAUAACAUCACAUUGAGAGACUUGUGAUGAAUCCUUUGUACUUGUGUUUUUCCACACAUGGGAGUAGCCAUGGUGAACGUCGUGUUGAGUGGCUCCAUGCCAACAUCACGUUGAGUGACUCCGUGAUGGGCACAUAUUCCUUUCCACACAUGGGAGUAGCCAUGGUGGACGUCAUGUUGAGUGACUCCAUGAUGAUGUGUUUCUUUCCACCAAUGGGAGUAGCCAUUGUGGGCAUCACGUUGAGAGACUCCGUGAUGAAACUUUGUACAUCUCUGAGACCGAGAUGUGUCUUUUCCACAAAUGGGUGUAGCCAUUGUGGGCAUCAUGUUGAGAGACUCCAUGACGAGGAUAUUUGAAAAUACCUCCCUAGCUAAGAGGAAGUGUUAGUGUUUUAUAGCUGAAUGAGGUAUUCCUAGAAGCAAGUCAGCCUAUUGCAAAUUAUUAUUUUAUUUUUGUAAGGGCUGACCCAAGAUGAAAAGUCACCUUGGUUCUUGAAUGAGGCCGAUUCUUGUGAAGAGUCGCCUUGCUUGAGAAAAGGCACCUUACUCUGUAUAUAUAGAAGGUGAUGAUCAUUUCAUUUUGAUCAAUCAAUUGAAUAUAAGAGAUAUAUUCUUGGCUGGGUUUUUCUCCCUCAAGGAGGGUUUUCCCAGGAUAUGUAUUGCAAAUCUGAUCAUAAAAUAUAACAAAGCUAAGACCAGCAACUUGAAACUCCUUAUCUCACUUUAAGGACUUCCAAGCGUAAGAAAGUUUUAGAGAGGCUACAGGUCCAUUCUAGAAGAGAACUUUCAUCCUUGUAUACUGUUGUUCAAAUCUGCAUCAAGAUGCUAAUAAUUUUGAACCAGCAAUACAUAACCAGCAUCCUGGCAACCAACAGCAGCAAAUAUCCACAGAUUCCCAGAAUCCUCUAGUAGUUGAUAAGUUAAUAUCUUUCUUGGAUAAUUGCAGUGACAAUAUUAACUGCAUUUCUUUAAUCACCCAUUGGUCAACAAGCUCAGUUGAUGCAUCAAGCCCAGACUAACAGUAGCUUGUUUUAGUAGUUAAUUUCUCUUUAUUAUAGUUUCUUAGUGUUAAAGUUGAGUCCUCCAUGCCCCACUUAUCAAAGGAAGCAGGUGAUUUAUCUUCGAAAAUCAGGCACAAGUUUAUCUUUGAUUCAAAGCAAAAUGCAUGGAAGAAACAGCUAAAGCUAAAGCAUUGAUUUCUCGCCCAUGUUUCUCUCUGAAGCAUUAUGAAUGAUCUUUGUUCAGUUAUAGUUUUUAACUUUUUUGUCAGUUUGUAUCUCUUCAAAAAUUUCUUGCAUUUGCUUUGAUAGUAAACUCUGGCUAAUGGCAUACAACUCACUCGGUCUUGGCUGUUGUUUUAGGCAGCCUAGAUUGUGGGUUUGACUCCUCCUGGUAGCGGUUUAUCAUUAUCCAAGAGUUAAUUGGGGGAGGGGGGUGGCUUACCCGCUUACCCACUCCCCCUCGCCCACAUCAAAAGAGCUAAGUUUGAGGUCAGUGGGCUAACAUGUCAUUCCUUACUGGAAAUGACAAAAAUAGUAUGUCAAAGCAUAUUGGAAACAUUUACAACCAACUUCUGGUAAUGUUUUCCUUACACCCAUGGGUUAUCUUUAGUGUAGCUGUUUAUCAUUAUCCAAGAGUUUAUUGGGGGAGGGGGGUGGCUUACCCGCUUACCCACUCCCCCUCGCCCACACCAAAAGAGCUAAGUUUGAGGUCAGUGGGCUAACAUGUCAUUCCUUCUGGAAAUGACAAAAAUAGUAUGUCAAAGCAUAUUGGAAACAUUUACAACCAACUUCUGGUAAUGUUUUCCUUUACAUCCAUGGGUUAUCUUUAGUGUAAGGAAUAUUAAAGAAGUGUUUUCCUGAAUUUUGACCUACUAAAGAUGUUUAGCAAUAACCAGCAACAUUCGUCCUGUUUUAUUUCUUCACAUGAACUUUUUUGGUAAAUGGAAAAACAAUGAAGCUGGAUUUCAUGACUUCUUAUUUCUUAAUCACAGACCUAACCCUAAUCCUACCCCUAAUCCUAACCCUAGCACUAAUCUUAAAACCUCAACCAUAAUUCUAAAGAUAAUCCAACCCUAAUCCUAAUUCUAUAUCUAAUCCUAAUCAAAAGUAAUCAUAAUCCUAACCCAACUCUAAUUCUAAUCUGAAAUUUAAUAUAAACUAAUUAAAUAUACAAGUUUAAUUAUAUAUUAAUAAACUAUUAAUAUUUAUAUGACAAUAAUAUAUUGUAAUGUGAUAGUUAUUAUAUGUACAAUUAUAUGUUAUAUUAAAUUAAUUAAUAUAAUAUUAUGCAAUUUUAAUUUAAUUAUUUAAUAUCUUUUAUGUUACACUGCGACCCUGAGAGAUAUGCGCAUGGGUACAUCGCUGCUUGUCAUUGCAAUAUGACAUCUGGGCAUACACUCUGUCCACAAUCUAAAAGAGGAGUUGUUGGCAAUGGAGAGGCCAAGGACACUUUGCCAACACAGUCCACGAUGCAUAGGUUUGAGCAAUGGUAAAUGGUGAGAAUGCUCAACAAAGAGAAAGGGUUUGCAGCCAUAUAAAAAAGGGGCCAUUGAAAGUAGUAGUGGUUUUUGCCAGGAAGACUCCACUACUAACAUCCAUUUUUCCAAUCUGCUUCCAAGUAACCAACUGCAGUUGUAAGAGCUGAAAUAAUGUCAGUAGUUGAAGAAUUAUCAGAUAUUGACAGUGAUGAUGACAUCAUUGAAGACGAACUUGUUCUAUUUUGAAGAAGCCAACAUUUUGAAGACUCUUCAAUAGUAUAAGGUGUUUGUGGAUCGGAGAAAUAUAUCUCAUUCAAGUAGGUAUGAGACAUACAUGUGCAAUUGGUGUCCAAUGAUGUUAGAAACUUGGAUGAUAACUAGAUCAAGAUGACCAUACAUCAAAACAGAGUAAAGUCUUACUGGUCCAAGAAAUGCUUUCAAAUAACAACUUACACAUAAUGUAUUAUUUUGUUUUAAUGUUGUUAUCCAGUUUCUACUAUGUAUAGAUAUGUUAGGUUUCCAUCAAAAUUCAGCUAUUCAUUAAAGGGGAUAUUUUAGAGAAUGUAAUUCAUAAUUGAAUUGUAUGAAUUACAAUUGUGUUGUGUACAUGUCAAUAAAGAGCAGCAGAUGUGUGUCUAGUCUUCUCCAGUUUGCUGUCAACAGGCUUCUGUUAGCUGUCAUUUUAGUUAACAGAUUUGUAGGAUGCAGUUAAAGAUAUUGUAACUCUUUAUAUGUAUUAUCUAAUGAAUAAUGGUGUGCAGCGAGAGUUUUCAGCUGUUCCAAAUUUUUUAA